rnacentral:rRNA from 1 species
CCUUGAAAUACCACCCUUUAAUGUUUGAUGUUCUAACGUUGACCCGUAAUCCGGGUUGCGGACAGUGUCUGGUGGGUAGUUUGACUGGGGCGGUCUCCUCCUAAAGAGUAACGGAGGAGCACGAAGGUUGGCUAAUCCUGGUCGGACAUCAGGAGGUUAGUGCAAUGGCAUAAGCCAGCUUGACUGCGAGCGUGACGGCGCGAGCAGGUGCGAAAGCAGGUCAUAGUGAUCCGGUGGUUCUGAAUGGAAGGGCCAUCGCUCAACGGAUAAAAGGUACUCCGGGGAUAACAGGCUGAUACCGCCCAAGAGUUCAUAUCGACGGCGGUGUUUGGCACCUCGAUGUCGGCUCAUCACAUCCUGGGGCUGAAGUAGGUCCCAAGGGUAUGGCUGUUCGCCAUUUAAAGUGGUACGCGAGCUGGGUUUAGAACGUCGUGAGACAGUUCGGUCCCUAUCUGCCGUGGGCGCUGGAGAAUUGAGGGGGGCUGCUCCUAGUACGAGAGGACCGGAGUGGACGCAUCACUGGUGUUCGGGUUGUCAUGCCAAUGGCACUGCCCGGUAGCUAAAUGCGGAAGAGAUAAGUGCUGAAAGCAUCUAAGCACGAAACUUGCCCCGAGAUGAGUUCUCCCUGACUCCUUGAGAGUCCUGAAGGAACGUUGAAGACGACGACGUUGAUAGGCCGGGUGUGUAAGCGCAGCGAUGCGUUGAGCUAACCGGUACUAAUGAACCGUGAGG